AGCCACCUCCACCUCUGUCCUGGCUGCCUCAGGGCGCCCUGAAAGGACCAGGACAUGCGGGUGCGGUGGCUGCGCUUUUGGCUCCUCUUCUGGCUCCUGCUGGGAUUUAUCAGCCAUCAGCCCACCCCUGUUAUCAAUACUCUGGCUGACCAUCGUCAUCGUGAGACUGACUUUGGUGGAAGUCCUUGGAUAAUUAUCAUUAUUGUGUUUCUGGGACGUUACAAAUUUACCAUUCUCUUCUGCACAAUUUACCUUUGUGUGCCUUUCCUGAAGACUAUCUUCUGGUCUCGAAAUGGACAUGAUAGAUCCAGGGAUGUACAGCAGAGAGCUAGGAGGUCCAACCGCCGUAGACAGGAAGGAAUUAAAAUUGGCCUGGAAGACAUCUGUACUUUAUGGAAACAGGCGGAAACAAAAGUUCAAGCUAAAAUCCGUAAGAUGAAGGUCACAAAGAAAGUCAACCAUCAUUACAAAAUCAAUGGAAAGAGGAAGACCGCCAAAGAACAGAAAAUGUUUCAACGUGCGCAAGAGUUGCGGUGGCGGGCAGAGGACUACCACAAAUGCAAAAUCACCCCCUCUGCAAGAAAGCCUCUUUGCAACUGGGUAAGUUUGUUUGUUUUCCUUGCUUUUGGACAGUCUGCCAGGUCAGGACAUGGAUACAUUUUUCUCCCUACAGCUCUGUGCUCAAGCCCUGCAGAGGGAGAUGGCAGAGAGGAAGGCUGCCUACAAGCAUCACAGUCCCAUCCCUGUUGGUAACCGUGUUGUGCAAAAACACCUUCAUCCCCACCCAGUGGGGCCCCUGAUCUAAUAUUCAAAGUGUCAGAGGUUCCAUAUUUGUAAUAGCAAAUGGGCCCUGACUGUAAAUUAGUGAAGAGUGAAUGUAACUUAUUACCCACAGGGACAAUUCCAAAUGAAGGCCUUAAAUGAUGCUCAGCUAAGCUGGUUCUUGUGUGGCCUCUGUACCUUCAAAAGCUGCCGAGUCCUAUGAUUACACGUGAUGGGACUUGUACACUUGAAGUGAAACAGUUUUAAAACUUGCUUUGUUUAGAAUUCCCACCUCAUUUUUCCAUGGACAAAAGUAUUCUUUAUGUCCUAGUGCACUUACAAUUUGGUAUUACCUGGGAGUGAAAAGAAAUAUUACAGCCAUGCCUAACUGACUUCUUGAGGUAAGAUUGUUCUGUCAGAAAACCCUCUCCCAGUUCCCCUGCAGCUCUU
rnacentral:lncRNA from 1 species